GGCGCGAUGGCAGAGUGGUCUAAUGCGAUAGACUAGAAAUCUAUUUCCUUCGGGAGCGCAGGUUAGUCAUCCUCCGGAUU